CAGGAGAGCGAGAGCGGAGUCUCAAAGGAAAGCCUCACUCUGCAGCAACGUGCACCCCUUCAAUCUCACAGCCGAAAAGGAGAUGAAGAAAAUGAGAGGAUUGACAGGAUUUGGCAAACUUGGAAGCACGGACAGCACAAGACGUUUAAUGGAGAAGAACCAGGAGGACGAGGUCAUACCGGACGGGCCCGAGCUGGCUCGCCCCAGCUGCGACACCUCGACCCAGAACCCUCAGAGCAACCACGAGGAAAGUGAGAGACGGAUCACAAGUGAGGAGGCGGCCGGACUUCUCUGCGUGGCCCCCGAUGCUUUGACCUCCGAGGCCGGACGCCCGCAGUCCGUCGUUGGCCUCAUAGAGGUGUUUCUGGAACAGCACUUCCCGAAGAUACCGGCCGACGUGGAGCAGACCUUAAGUCGCCACCUGCUGGAGGUGCAGGAGACGCUGCUCAGGGAGCUCGUGAGGUUGGCCCCCCCGACUCCAUUCUGAGGGAUUGUUGGAAUGCUGCCACCAGCAGACAUUUAAACAUCUUGAUCAUCUACUUCGGAUGAUCCGCAUCCCCAGAGAAUUGUUAUUUCUGAUUAACUGGGUCCUACAUACAUAUCUGAGCCGGGACCUGCUUGGUCAUCCUGACCUUCAGUGCACAGAUCCCAUAAAAAAGAUCGACCUCCUGCUGUUAACACGGUGGACGUCCCAAGCGGAGGAAAUAUUGUUUGAAAUUCUGAUGAGAGAUAUCGGCCGUUGCCUGGAGAAGAUCCUGCAGAUGGAAAUGAACCACGAUGAUCUUUACGUGGACGCGAUUCAGUGCAUUGACGCCGUGCCCCAAAAUGUCCUCAAAAUCAGCCCACAACUGUCUGAUAAGCUGCAGGAGGGUUGCAUGCGAGAGCUGCUGUGGUUUCUGAAAAAGUUCACGGCGGCGCAGAAGGACCUUCUGAGAAAGAAAGCAAAAAUGGACGAACCAGAAACAAAAGAUUUUUUCAGGAAUUUGAAGAACUGUAAAGGACUCAAGCAGUACAUCCAGGAAAAAGACAAAGAGAAAAAAUACCCUCUCAUGGAAAUCAUUGAAGACAUGGAGGCUUUUACUUUGAAACUCCUGAGGGAAAUCUUCGCUGACAUCGCAGAGAGCCGCCUGAAGAAAUACUUCAAAUCACAGAAUAAGGAAUUCUCCCUCUUGCUCGAUGACGUAAGAAGCCUCCUCUCAGGUCUGUCCGACUACGAGGACGUUCAGAUGAGCGUGAUGGACGAGGCCUACAAGCUCCUCGCUCACGUUUACCUCAAACGCCUCGUCGGAACGCGCCUGAGCCGCCUGAGGAGGCGCUGGCAGCCCGACGUGGGACGAAGGGUCACCGAGGACGCCGAGCUGCUUCACCACUUCCUCGCGGAUCUGGUUCCCGGGGUCGCUGGCUGGAACGCCAUGCUGCUGAAAGUCGAAGAUCUGUUGAGCGUCGAGAGUCUUGAUGUGAUGAAAGUGACAGCGGCGGAGAUGCAGAAGGAGUGUCACCCGGGGAGCGGUGACCUGCAGCUCCUGCCCGCGCUGCUGCAGUGGCGAGGUCUCUCCGGAUCCCAGAUCAGGGACGUGCAAUAUGCCAUGAUGGACCUACCCGGCUUUCAACUCCCACCCACGCCUGCUUCCUGCUUCUCCUGCUUCACCUGGUGGCGAAGCUGCUGCGCGCCGGAAUCCACGGUUGUCAGCGAGGAGGACGGCUCUCAGAUCUGAUGCAAGGGAGUUGGAAUAAGCUUCAAGU
ensembl:lncRNA